UACGUAGGGGGCAAGCGUUGUCCGGAAUCAUUGGGCGUAAAGCGCGUGUAGGCGGUUCGGUAAGUCUGCUGUGAAAGUCCAGGGCUCAACCCUGGGAUGCCGGUGGAUACUGUCGGACUAGAGUACGGAAGAGGCGAGUGGAAUUCCCGGUGUAGCGGUGAAAUGCGCAGAUAUCGGGAAGAACACCGGUGGCGAAGGCGGCCUGCUGGGCAGUUUAGCUGACACUGAGGCGCGACAGCGUGGGGAGCAAACAGG
rnacentral:rRNA from 1 species